rnacentral:rRNA from 1 species
UACGGAAGGGGCGAGCGUUGUUCGGAAUCAUUGGGCGUAAAGGGCGCGUAGGUGGUUCUGUAUGUCUGCCGUGAAAGGGUACAGCUUAACUGUAGCUUGUCGGUAGAAACUGCAGGACUUGAGGCUGGGAGGGGCUGGUGGAAUUCCCUGUGUAGCGGUGAAAUGCGUAGAGAUGGGGGAGAACACUCGUGGCGAAGGCGGCCAGCUAGACCAGUUCUGACACUGGAGGCGCGACAGCGUGGGGAGCAAACAGG